CCUCUCUUAUUCAAAUCCAUACGGUAAAAAAAUAAAUUUUUCCUAGCCAAAAUAUAUUUUUUUACCGUAUGGGAAGUGACAUCAUAAGUCCAAAACACUGCGUUUGACACCUGUUGUUCCUUAAAACUACUUUUGAAGAUGAGACCUGCUGCUGGAUAACAGUGGGUGCAUCAGAUUGCCCGUUGUGGUGAACGUGGCCGCCUGAUAUGCAGAGAAGCCGGUUUGAGAUUUUGGAGCAGCGUGCACCGUGAGCCGUGCCCGCCGGGUUUGGGUUUUCUUGUUCCCCGCUGAGGUUGUUGUGGUGAAAAAGUCUCUGAACUGGGUCACAGCUGUGCAGCACACAGCGGCACCGUGGCACAUUUCUCUGUGAGUGAGGACAUUGUGAAGGCCGGGAGUGAAAAUGAGCAUGCUUGUUAAACUGCCCCCCCUCCAAGUAAGAUGAGAAGAGCAAGAAGCCGAAGCAAUAAAUCAUUAAUUCGCCAUAAAGGCAGUCGGGGAGGAAAGGCAACAUCUCUCUGUCUUUUAAAAGUGAUGUGGAUGUAUGGCAGCGCAGCCUGUACGUCUGCCGCCUCGCUACGGCCUUCUGGAGAUAGCCAGAAACAAGAAAACACAGUCUGGAGAUCAGCAGUAACAACAAAAUGGUUUUCGAAGAGCUGAGGAAACCGAACACCUUCUAAUCUUUGUUUCUUUAAUCACUGGAGUUUGAUCAGAAACCUUCUGCUGCACAUUAAUUGUGUAUUUCUAAAAAAUAAUCAUUUUUAAGCAGAAAAACAAAUAUUUAAAAAAAAUCACACUAAAUCCUGAUAAGGUGAAUUUAACAAUGUAUUAAUUCAUAUAUGCAAAACUCUUAGAUUUAAUUCCCUUUCAGCCUCGACUCUUGUGAAUUAAAGGUCUGGCAUUAAAUGACUUUGUCUUGCCCUCGAUUACCAAAGGGAAUAAAGAUCACUGAAUCAGAGC